rnacentral:misc_RNA from 1 species
CACCACUCAAGCUCCGCUUGGUCGUUGGUCGAUCGCCCCAGCUGGGGUGCCACCAAAAAUCAGCGGCGGUGCGGCCGGAUUUCCCAGCGCAGUAGAUCAGUGACCCUCGCUGGAGAGAGAACCGCCCUCACCGGCCGGAAAAACACGACUGCAUGAAAAGUAGUCUUUCGAAAC